rnacentral:rRNA from 1 species
GACGAACGCUGGCGGCGUGCUUAACACAUGCAAGUCGAACGGAAAGGCCCUGCUUUUUUGGUGUGCUCGAGUGGCGAAUGGGUGCGUAACAAGUGCUUAACCUGCCCUUGUCUUUCGUAUAACUUCAGGAAACUAGGGCUACUCCCCGAUAGUAGCUCCUUUUUGAUUGUUGGCGUUUGAAUGUUUCGGCGGUUGGGGAUGGAUUCGCGGCUUAUCAGCUUGUUGGUGGGGUAGUGGCUUACCAAGGCUUUGACGGGUAGCCGGCCUGAGAGUGUGAACGGCCACAUAGGGACUAAGAGACGGACCAGACACAUACGGGAGGCAGAAGGGGGGAAUAUUGAACAAUGGGCGGAAGACUGAUGAAGAAACGCAGGGUGCGGGAUGAAGGACUGCGGGUUGUAAACAGCUUUCGGUUGUGACGAAGCGUGAGUGACGGUAAUGGAGAAAGAAGCACCGGCUAACUACGUG